rnacentral:rRNA from 1 species
AGGAAUAUUGGUCAAUGGGCGCAAGCCUGAACCAGCCAAGUAGCGUGAGGGAAGACUGCCCUAUGGGUUGUAAACCUCUUUUGUGCGGGGAUAAAGUGUGGGACGUGUCCCAUAUUGCAGGUACCGCACGAAUAAGGACCGGCUAAUUCCGUGCCAGCAGCCGCGGUAAUACGGAAGGUCCGGGCGUUAUCCGGAUUUAUUGGGUUUAAAGGGAGCGCAGGCCGUCCUUUAAGCGUGCUGUGAAAUGCCGCGGCUCAACCGUGGCACUGCAGCGCGAACUGGAGGACUUGAGUACGCACGAGGUAGGCGGAAUUCGUGGUGUAGCGGUGAAAUGCUUAGAUAUCACGAAGAACUCCGAUUGCGAAGGCAGCUUACCGGAGCGCAACUGACGCUGAGGCUCGAAAGCGCGGGUAUCGAACAGGAUUAGAUACCCUGGUAGUCCGCGCGGUAAACGAUGGAUGCCCGCCGUUGGGUUUUAGAAUUCAGCGGCCAAGCGAAAGCGUUAAGCAUCCCACCUGGGGAGUACGCCGGCAACGGGUGAAACUCAAAGGAAUUGACGGGGGCCCGCACAAGCGGAGGAACAUGUGGUUUAAUUCGAUGAUACGCGAGGAACCUUACCCGGGCUUGAAUUGCAGGAGAACGAUCCAGAGAUGGUGAGGCCCUUCGGGGCUCCUGUGAAGGUGCUGCAUGGUUGUCGUCAGCUCGUGCCGUGAGGUGUCGGCUCAAGUGCCAUAACGAGCGCAACCCCUGUCCAUAGUUGCCAUCAGGUCGUGCUGGGCACUCUGUGGAGACUGCCGCCGUAAGGUGUGAGGAAGGUGGGGAUGACGUCAAAUCAGCACGGCCCUUACGUCCGGGGCUACACACGUGUUACAAUGGGGCAUACAGCGAGUUGGAUGUGCGCAAGUACGUCCGGAUCAAUAAAGUGCCUCUCAGUUCGGACUGGGGUCUGCAACCCGACCCCACGAAGCUGGAUUCGCUAGUAAUCGCGCAUCAGCCAUGGCGCGGUGAAUACGUUCCCG